AGGUCAUAGUGAUCCGGUGGUUCUGAAUGGAAGGGCCAUCGCUCAACGGAUAAAAGGUACUCCGGGGAUAACAGGCUGAUACCGCCCAAGAGUUCAUAUCGACGGCGGUGUUUGGCACCUCGAUGUCGGCUCAUCACAUCCUGGGGCUGAAGUAGGUCCCAAGGGUAUGGCUGUUCGCCAUUUAAAGUGGUACGCGAGCUGGGUUUAGAACGUCGUGAGACAGUUCGGUCCCUAUCUGCCGUGGGCGCUGGAGAACUGAGGGGGGCUGCUCCUAGUACGAGAGGACCGGAGUGGACGCAUCACUGGUGUUCGGGUUGUCAUGCCAAUGGCACUGCCCGGUAGCUAAAUGCGGAAGAGAUAAGUGCUGAAAGCAUCUAAGCACGAAACUUGCCCCGAGAUGAGUUCUCCCUGACCCUUUAAGGGUCCUGAAGGAACGUUGAAGACGACGACGUUGAUAGGCCGGGUGUGUAAGCGCAGCGAUGCGUUGAGCUAACCGGUACUAAUGAACCGUGAGGCUUAACCUU
rnacentral:rRNA from 1 species